UCCAGCAGAAGCCGACAUCAACUAUGUCUCUGACCAUUCGUGGAAGUUAAGGACUUGAGAUUUCAACAAAGAGGAGGGAGAGGGAGGGGGAGGGGGAGAGAGCGAGAGGGAGUCUCAGCUACUUUCGGUCCCUGCUGCUGGUUUGAUUGUUUCGAGGGUUUUGUCUCCCACUGUUCCUGAAUCAAGUUUGUAGUACAUUCUUGAAGCACAGAUCAAAUGCCCUCAUUGAAAAUGAAGAACAAAUUGAGCACGAGUUAUUUCAAAGAAAAAAAUGGUCUUCAUGUAUCUCAAAUGUCCAGUAAAAUUGCCAAAAACUCUUGCCCACAAUUCAGGAUUUCUGAACAAGCAUCAGAAUUGGACACAUUUAUUCACAAAUGCCAGGAUGUUUCUUUGAGCACACAAGCAUCCAUGAAGAACAUUGGAAGUGACGAAUCCAUUGACUGUGAAGAAUUACUGGAUGAAGAAAUAUAUCAGUUCCAGCAGCAGCCAACAUUUUUUGUUUGUUCUGCAAGCAUUGGGAGAACGGAAUCAACCCACAGUUCAGACCUAGGGACGAUUUUCUCUCCCACUUUGGAGCACAUUGAAAGCCAUACUGAACCAAAAGCUGAUGAUGAUGCAGGGAACAUCAAAGAUCCUGACAUGCCAGGGUUGGGAACUGAUGACAGUGAUGAUAAUAGAAGCUCAUCUGACUACCAAACUUGUGAUGUAUCAGAUUUCUACAUAUCUGACAUGAUUGUUGCUAGCUUUCCCUUCAGUGGGAAUACGUUUGAUGAUGAUAUUAAUGUGGUUAACUGCUUUCCUGAUUACAACUAUGCUGAGCAGAGUCUGUUGUUUGAUGUCUCUGAACAAUACAUGACGCUGCCUUUCCUUGAGGAUAUGGUCAAAACCAGUGACAUAACUGAUACCCAAUCACAUGAAGAAGCUAUGGUUUCAGAUAAUAGUAGCUCAUAUGUAGCAAUUGGUCAAAGGAGAUCAUGCAACUCGGAAACUGAUGUUAACACUGACUCAGACCCACAGAUGUUCAUAAAAAAUUUACCGGAACUCUCAGACGUGGUAUCGAACUUCCAGCCUACUAUACUGCCAAAGGAUACUCAGAACAGGAAACCUGUAACACUAGUACUUGACUUGGAUGAAACACUUGUCCACUCCACAUUGGAACACCGUGAUGAUGCUGACUUCACGUUCACAGUUUUCUUUGACAUGAAGGAGCACACUGUAUAUGUGAAACAGAGGCCUUAUCUCCAUACAUUCUUGGAGAGAGUUGCAGAAAUGUUUGAAGUUGUUAUUUUUACUGCAAGCCAAAGCAUCUAUGCAGAACAACUUCUUGAUAUAGUGGAUCGAGAUGGAAAGCUUAUAUCUCGCAGAGUUUUCCGUGAAUCAUGCAUUUUCUCAGAUGGUAGUUACACUAAAGAUUUGACAGUUUUAGGUGUUGAUCUUGCAAAAGUUGUGAUAGUUGAUAAUUCUCCUCAGGUUUUCCGGUUGCAAGUCAAUAAUGGGAUUCCUAUAAGGAGUUGGUUUGACGAUCCAUCAGACUGCGCACUAAUUUCCUUACUUCCGUUCUUAGAGACUCUGGUUGAUGCUGAUGAUGUACGUCCAAUCAUUGCUGCGAGAUUCAGUGACAAGGAAUAAGAGCCCCUUAUAUAUCUCAUUAGCUUGAAUAUAGCAGCUCCUUCUCCCUCUCAACCAUUUGAAUGCAAAAACUGGCUUCUAGUUUAGAUGCUCAAUACCAUUCCUCUCUGAUCUCGAGCUUGCAGUUGGACAUGUAUGUUCAUGAAGGAUGUAAAUGCAGAGUGAUUUUGAUCUGAUGAAUAUCUGGAGAGUUGGGAGGUACUGUGCAUGGAGAGGGAUCUUUUCAGGAAAAUUAGGCUGGUUGUGACCAGAACAUUAUAUACGCAUUGAACCUGUUCUAUCUGCAGUGAUUCUGCAGCAUAAGGAGCAAGUCAGUAAUUCAAUGUGUCAAUUCCUUAAUGAUAAUAUCCAUGACAAUAUGUAGACAAAUCAGGUCUGCUCUUAGUGUUAUAUAGGCAGAUGAAGAUGUAUUUUAUUUCGGUAAUUAAACUGAACACUUGGAGUUGAGUUGAAUUGAAAAGAUCAAAGUAGGCAAUAAGUUAAACACUGCCUGCAUAUUGUGUAUUUUGGUGGGAAAGGAACAUCAGAAAUUGAAGACUAAAAGGACAUUGGAGGAGCUCAAAGCUUUAUUUUUCAGUACUCUCUUCCUUUGGACAGCCUCUAUAAACUCUAGUGGGCUAGCUUUUCAGGAUGUUUUCAUAUAUAGAUAAGUGAUUCUAUACAUAAUGUGUACUUUGGUGUGCUUUUUAAUGAUUAUAACUUAUAAAAAGAAGUCCAACAUUGAGAGGAACCCGUGUUUAUCUGAGAAGGUACUUCUUUGAGAUGCAUUAUUCUCGAAGAUUUUGAAUUUAUGCCCCCCCUGUUAUGUUGCUCAACUGACGGACCUAGCAUUCUCAACAACUCAAUUAUCAGUGAAAAUUGUCAUGAGGCUCCCUACCAAGUUAUAAUUUUGUCAUUGGAUCACGGGGAAAAUUGCUCUGUUUUGAUAAAAAAAGCUUUUGAGAUUAUAUAUGGUCAAACGGACGAUAGAGGUAUAGUGCUCUAUUUGAAUUGAAGGCUAAUUGUGGGUAGUGCUAUAGAUAUGAGGCUAUGUUUGAAUCGAUGGAUCUGGAAUCCUAGAACUGGGAGUAGCCUGUUGAAUUGGUGGAUUUUGUUGAUAGUCAAGUGAAGAGAAAAUAGGUCCAAAAUGCUCUUCACUUAAACCAAGAAUAGGAGAGACAGAUGAUGAAUUAGGGGGUGUAUAAAUUAUCUUAUUAUCACUCCUUGCCAUGAUCUUCUGCUGAAUGCUGAAUCUAAUAGUGGACUAUUACACUUUCACCUUUCUGUAUACCUUUU